AUGGCUCAGGACGAACGCUGGCGGCGUGCCUAACACAUGCAAGUCGAGCGAUGAAGCUUCUUCGGAAGUGGAUUAGCGGCGGACGGGUGAGUAACACGUGGGUAACCUGCCUCAUAGAGGGGAAUAGCCUUCCGAAAGGAAGAUUAAUACCGCAUAAGAUUGUAAUAUCGCAUGAUAUAGCAAUUAAAGGAGCAAUCCGCUAUGAGAUGGACCCGCGUCGCAUUAGCUAGUUGGUGAGGUAACGGCUCACCAAGGCGACGAUGCGUAGCCGACCUGAGAGGGUGAUCGGCCACAUUGGGACUGAGACACGGCCCAGACUCCUACGGGAGGCAGCAGUGGGGAAUAUUGCACAAUGGGGGAAACCCUGAUGCAAGCAACGCCGCGUGAGUGAUGACGGUCUUCGGAUUGUAAAGCUCUGUCUUCAGGGACGAUAAUGACGGUACCUGAGGAGGAAGCCACGGCUAACUACGUGCCAGCCGCCGC
rnacentral:rRNA from 1 species